CACGUAGGGCGCAAGCGUUGUCCGGAAUUAUUGGGCGUAAAGAGCUCGUAGGCGGUCCGUCACGUCCGCUGUGAAAACCCAGGGCUCAACCCUGGGCUUGCAGUGGAUACGGGCAGACUAGAGGUAGGUAGGGGAGAAUGGAAUUCCUGGUGUAGCGGUGAAAUGCGCAGAUAUCAGGAGGAACACCGGUGGCGAAGGCGGGUCUCUGGGCCGAUACUGACGCUGAGGAGCGAAAGCGUGGGGAGCGAACAGG
rnacentral:rRNA from 1 species